rnacentral:rRNA from 1 species
AGUGAACGCUGGCGGUAGGCCUAACACAUGCAAGUCGAACGGCAGCACAGUAAUAGCUUGCUCUUACGGGUGGCGAGUGGCGGACGGGUGCGGAAUACAUCGGAAUCUACUUUUUCGAGGGGGCUAACGUAGGGAAACUUACGCUAAUACCGCAUACGACCUACGGGUGGAAGCAGGGGAUCUUCGGACCUUGCGUGAUUGAAUGAGCCGAGGUCGGAUUAGCUAGUUGGCGGGGUAAAGGCCCACCAAGGCGACGAUCCGUAGCUGGUCUGAGAGGAUGAUCAGCCACACUGGAACUGAGACACGGUCCAGACUCCUACGGGAGGCAGCAGUGGGGAAUAUUGGACAAUGGGCGAAAGCCUGAUCCAGCCAUGCCGCGUGUGUGAAGAAGGCCUUCGGGUUGUAAAGCCCUUUUGUUGGGAAAGAAAAGCAGCAGGUUAAUACCUCGCUGUUCUGACGGUACCCAAAGAAUAAGCACCGGCUAACUUCGUG